GGGCCGCUAGCUCAGUUGGUUAGAGCAGCUGACUGUUAGUCAGCGGGUCCGGGGUUCGUGUCCCUGGCGGCGCA
rnacentral:tRNA from 1 species